rnacentral:lncRNA from 1 species
GAACAGGACCUGAACCAUGAGGCUGCAGCAGACCCAGCUCCAGCCCCUCCCACUGAUUUUCAGAAUAAUGUGCAGGUCAAACUCAUCCGGAGUCCUGCAGAUUUGAUUCGAUUGAUCGAGGAGCUAAAAGGUGCAGAAAAGGGGAAGCCAAGCGUAAGGCAGGAGCAGCCUGGAGAUGAUACCACAGAGGCCCCGCAGAGGGAAGCGGAGGCGAAGGGAAAGGGUGGUGAACCCCGGGGUCUCGUGGAAGAAGAGGAUGGUGACGAGGAGGAGGAGGACGAGGACGAGGAUGAGCAGCAGCUCCUGGGAGAGUUCGAGAAGGAGUUGGAGGGGAUGCUGCUGCCCUCGGACCGAGAGCGCCUGCGCUCAGAGGUUAAGGCUGGCAUGGAGCGCGAGCUGGAAAACAUCAUCCAGGAGACAGAGAAGGAACUGGACCCAGAAGGGCUGAGGAAGGAGUCUGAGCGGGAGCAGGCAAUAUUGGCUCUGACAUCCACUCUGGACAAACUCAUCAAGAGGCUGCAGGAGAGCCAGAGUCCAGAGCUUGUCCAGAAAUACAAGAAAAGGAGAGUUGUCCCUCAAAAGCCUCCCCCAUCACCGCACCCUACAGGCAAGAUUGAGAUCAAAAUUGUGCGACCCGGGGCUGAAGGUAAGGAGGAGGACACACGCUGGCUGACUGAUGAGGACACAAGAAACCUUAAGGAGAUUUUCUUCAAUAUCUUGGUGCAGGGAGCAGAAGAGGCCAAUAAAGAACGCCAGCGACAGAGUGAGCUGGAGAGCAAUUACCGCCGUGUAUGGGGCUCUCCGGGUGGAGAGGAUACAGGGGACCUGGAUGAGUUUGACUUCUGAGACCACCUUGCUAGGCCCUUUAAGGAUUACUGCAACGUCCUGACCAGCUCUGCCUCCUUACCCCAUCCUGGGGCCCUGGAGGCAAAGGGCAGAUUGGAACCCAGCACUGGAUUUCAGGGGCCCAGCCUGAGGGUGUGUGAAGACCCACGAGGGAGACCUGUUGCAGUCCCAGGGAGCCACCUAAGGCCACGACCAGGCUAUAGGUUUCGCUCCCCAAACAUACCCUCCUUUGCUCCUUUAGCUUUUCCUGUCCCCCACCUUCUUAGCACUUAACCCCACUCUACCCAGAGACUUGAUGAGACCUUGUGCGUGGGAGUGGCAGGAACAGCAGGGCUGCAGUUUUUCAGACUCCCAAGAAAGCAGAUUCCCAACCCCACCUUGCCCCACCCUACCUUGAUCCCUUUGGUUUAGGGAGCUGUUGCCUCUCCCUUGGGGCCCCUACUUCCUGUCUGCUGACUGUCUCUUGUCACUGAGGGAACUGGAGCCCUUACUAUCACCUCACAAACAAUCCCAGCGAAAAGGGUUGGAGAUGGCGCCACCCCUGUUCUUCAGCAAUCAGGUUUCUAAAUAAAAGACCGGACUGUCAAGCC